AUUGAACGCUGGCGGCAUGCUUUACACAUGCAAGUCGAACGGUAACAGGUUAAGCUGACGAGUGGCGAACGGGUGAGUAAUGCAUCGGAACGUGCCCGAUCGUGGGGGAUAACGCAGCGAAAGCUGCGCUAAUACCGCAUACGAUCUGAGGAUGAAAGCGGGGGACCGUAAGGCCUCGCGCGAUCGGAGCGGCCGAUGUCAGAUUAGGUAGUUGGUGGGGUAAAGGCUCACCAAGCCGACGAUCUGUAGCUGGUCUGAGAGGACGACCAGCCACACUGGGACUGAGACACGGCCCAGACUCCUACGGGAGGCAGCUGUGGGGAAUUUUAGACAAUGGGCGAAAGCCUGAUCCAGCAAUGCCGCGUGCAGGAAGAAGGCCUUCGGGUUGUAAACUGCUUUUGUACGGAGCGAAAAGGCUCUCUCUAAUACAGGGGGCUCAUGACGGUACCGUAAGAAUAAGCACCGGCUAACUACGUGCCAGCCGCCGCAGUAAGAC
rnacentral:rRNA from 1 species